UUUGAUGUACGUUCCAACCAC
rnacentral:piRNA from 1 species